rnacentral:rRNA from 1 species
GAUGAACGCUGGCUACAGGCUUAACACAUGCAAGUCGAGGGGAAACGACGGGGAAGCUUGCUUCCCCGGGCGUCGACCGGCGCACGGGUGAGUAACGCGUAUCCAACCUGCCUCUGACUGAGGGAUAACCCGUCGAAAGUCGGCCUAAUACCUCAUGGCAUCGUCUGCGGGCAUCCAACGACGAUUAAAGAUUUCAUCGGUCAGAGAUGGGGAUGCGUCUGAUUAGCUUGUUGGCGGGGUAACGGCCCACCAAGGCGACGAUCAGUAGGGGUUCUGAGAGGAAGGUCCCCCACAUUGGAACUGAGACACGGUCCAAACUCCUACGGGAGGCAGCAGUGAGGAAUAUUGGGCAAUGGGCGAGAGCCUGAACCAGCCAAGUAGCGUGCAGGAUGACGGCCCUAUGGGUUGUAAACUGCUUUUAUGCGGGGAUAAAGUGAGGGACGUGUCCUUCAUUGCAGGUACCGCAUGAAUAAGGACCGGCUAAUUCCGUG